UUGCAGGCUGCAACCCGCCCUGCAUGAAGUCGGAAUUGCUAGUAAUCGCGAAUCAGCAUGUCGCGGUGAAUACGUUCCCGGGCCUUGUACACACCGCCCGUCACACCAUGAGAGUUGGCAAUACCCAACGUACGUGAUCUAACCCGCAAGGGAGGAAGCGUCCUAAGGUAGGGUCAGCGAUUGGGGUGAAGUCGUAACAAGGUAUC
rnacentral:rRNA from 1 species